AGAGUUUGAUCCUGGCUCAGAUUGAACGCUGGCGGAAUGCUUUACACAUGCAAGUCGAACGGUAGAGGGGGCAACCCCUUGAGAGUGGCGAACGGGUGAGUAAUGUAUCGGAACGUGCCCAGUCGUGGGGGAUAACGUAGUGAAAAUUACGCUAAUACCGCAUACGAUCUAUGGAUGAAAGCGGGGGAUCGCAAGACCUCGCGCGAUUGGAGCGGCCGAUAUCAGAUUAGGUAGUUGGUGGGGUAAAGGCUCACCAAGCCAACGAUCUGUAGCUGGUCUGAGAGGACGACCAGCCACACUGGAACUGAGACACGGUCCAGACUCCUACGGGAGGCAGCAGUGGGGAAUUUUGGACAAUGGACGCAAGUCUGAUCCAGCCAUUCCGCGUGCAGGACGAAGGCCUUCGGGUUGUAAACUGCUUUUGUACGGAACGAAAAAGCUCUUAUUAAUACUAGGAGUCCAUGACGGUACCGUAAGAAUAAGCACCGGCUAACUACGUGCCAGCAGCCGCGGUAAUACGUAGGGUGCAAGCGUUAAUCGGAAUUACUGGGCGUAAAGCGUGCGCAGGCGGUUAUAUAAGACAGAUGUGAAAUCCCCGAGCUUAACUUGGGAACUGCAUUUGUGACUGUAUAGCUAGAGUACGGCAGAGGGGGAUGGAAUUCCGCGUGUAGCAGUGAAAUGCGUAGAUAUGCGGAGGAACACCGAUGGCGAAGGCAAUCCCCUGGGCCUGUACUGACGCUCAUGCACGAAAGCGUGGGGAGCAAACAGGAUUAGAUACCCUGGUAGUCCACGCCCUAAACGAUGUCAACUGGUUGUUGGGUCUUCACUGACUCAGAACGAAGCUAACGCGUGAAGU
rnacentral:rRNA from 1 species